GCGUGAGCGUGCUAAGGUAGCGUAAUAAUUAGCCUUUUAAUUGGAGGCCAGUGAAUGGCAAGACUAGGAAUAUCUGUACUUUGUAUAUAAAAAAAAUUUUUCAUCUAAGUGAAAAGACUUGGAUAAAAAAGGAAGACGAAAAGACCCCGCGGAACUUUACCUUUUCUUACACCUCUGUUCACAAACUUAAAGGUCUAUAAGGUUUGAUUGGGGCAAUCUUGGAACCAAUAAAGCUUCCAAUUAGCUUUAAGAAAAUAUAAAAAAUUUUUUAAGGACCAAAAAGUAGUUACCCCGGGGAUAACAGCGUAAUCUAACUUAAGAGUACAUAUCGAAAGUUGGGUUUGCGACCUCGAUGUUGGCUUAAGGAUAUCCACAUUAGUGCAACCGCUAUGACAGGAUAGUCUGUUCGACUACCAUUCCCUUACACGAGCUGAGUUAAGACCGGCGCAAGCUAGGUUGGUUUCUAUCUCCUUUUCUUAAAACUCUUCUUGAUUGUACGAAAGGACC
rnacentral:rRNA from 1 species